rnacentral:rRNA from 1 species
GUCGAGAAUUUUUGACAAUGGGGGAAACCCUGAUCGAGCGACGCCGCGUGGAGGAUGAAGGUCUUCGGGUUGUAAACUCCUGUCAUUUGGGAACAAGGUGUGCACGUUAACUGCGGGCACAUUGAUAGUACCAGAAGAGGAAGAGACGGCUAACUCUGUGCCAGCAGCCGCGGUAAUACAGAGGUCUCAAGCGUUGUUCGGAUUCAUUGGGCGUAAAGGGUGUGUAGGUGGCGCGCUAAGUCGGGUGUGAAAUUUCGGAGCUUAACUCCGAAACUGCAUUCGAUACUGGCGUGCUUGAGGACUGGAGAGGAGACUGGAAUUUACGGUGUAGCAGUGAAAUGCGUAGAUAUCGUAAGGAAGACCAGUGGCGAAGGCGGGUCUCUGGACAGUUCCUGACACUGAGACACGAAGGCCAGGGGAGCAAACGGGAUUAGAUACCCUAGUAGUCC